rnacentral:tRNA from 1 species
CCCGACGGUGGUCAAGCCCCGCUACACCGUCCUCGAGGUGGACGGACGGGCCGACAGUCCCGAGGUCCGACUCCUCCCCGGCGGGAC